UACGAAGGGGGCUAGCGUUGUUCGGAUUUACUGGGCGUAAAGCGCGCGUAGGCGGAUCGCUAAGUCAGGGGGUGAAAUCCCAGGGCUCAACCCUGGAACUGCCUUUGAUACUGACGAUCUGGAGAUCGGGAGAGGUUGGUGGAAUUCCGAGUGUAGAGGUGAAAUUCGUAGAUAUUCGGAGGAACACCAGAAGCGAAGGCGGCCAACUGGCCCGAUACUGACGCUGAGGCGCGAAAGCGUGGGGAGCAAACAGG
rnacentral:rRNA from 1 species